rnacentral:rRNA from 1 species
ACUCCUACGGGAGGCAGCAGUGGGGAAUAUUGCACAAUGGGCGCAAGCCUGAUGCAGCCAUGCCGCGUGUAUGAAGAAGGCCUUCGGGUUGUAAAGUACUUUCAGCAGUGAGGAAGGUGGGUAUGUUAAUAGCAUACUCAUUUGUACGUUAGCUGCAGAAGAAGCACCGGCUAACUCCGUGCCAGCAGCCGCGGUAAGUACGGAGGGUGCGAGCGUUAAUCGGAAUUACUGGGCGUAAAGCGCAUGCAGGUGGUUUGUUAAGUCAGAUGUGAAAGCCCGGGCUCAACCUCGGAAUUGCAUUUGAAACUGGCAAACUAGAGUACUGUAGAGGGGGUAGAAUUUCAGGUGUAGCGGUGAAAUGCGUAGAGAUCUGAAGGAAUACCGGUGCGAAGCGGCCCCUGGACAGAUACUGACACUCAGAUGCGAAAGCGUGGGAGCAAACAGGAUUAGAU